CGUUGAAAUACCAGUUCAUGUACGAUCACCGACGUUAAGCAAUGUCGAGUCUGGUCAGUACCAAGAUGGGUGACUGCUUGGGAAUAC